GACGAACGCUGGCGGCGUGCUUAACACAUGCAAGUCGAACGGAAAGGCCUGCUUUCCCUUGUGGAUUGCGGGUACUCGAGUGGCGAACGGGUGAGUAACACGUGAGUGAUCUGCCCCCAACUUGGGUAUAAGCCUGGGAAACUGGGUCUAAUUCCCGAUAGGACUGCAGGGUGGUGCCUGUUGUGGAAAACGAUUUUCUAGUGGUUGGGGAUGAGCUCGCGGCCUAUCAGCUUGUUGGUGGGGUAAUGGCCUACCAAGGCGGCGACGGGUAGCCGGCCUGGGAGGGUGGACGGCCACAUUGGGACUGAGAUACGGCCCAGACUCCUACGGGAGGCAGCAGUGGGGAAUAUUGCACAAUGGGCGGAAGCCUGAUGCAGCGACGCCGCGUGGGGGAUGACGGCCUUCGGGUUGUAAACUCCUUUCGACCGCGAGGAAGCCACCUGGUUGGAAGGGUGGUGACGGUAGUGGUAGAAGAAGCACCGGCUAACUACGUG
rnacentral:rRNA from 1 species